CGGGUGCACUGAUCCGGCCGGGCCUUUCCCUCUGUGGAACCCCAUGGCCUUCACUGGCUGUGCGGGGGAAACAGGACUUUUACUGUGAAAAAAUUAGAGUGCUCCAGGCAGGCCUAUGCUCGAAUACAUUAGCAUGGAAUAAUAGAAUAGGACGCGUGGUUCUAUUUUGUUGGUUUCUAGGACCGCCGUAAUGAUUAAUAGGGACAGUCGGGGGCAUCAGUAUUCAAUUGUCAGAGGUGAAAUUCUUGGAUCUAUUGAAGACUAACUACUGCGAAAGCAUUUGCCAAGGAUGUUUUCAUUGAUAAGGAACGAAAGUUAGGGGAUCGAAGACGAUCAGAUACCGUCGUAGUCUUAACUAUAAACUAUGCCGACUAGGGAUCGGACGAUGUUAUUUCUUGACGCGUUCGGCACCUUUCGAGAAAUCAAAGUGCUUGGGCUCCAGGGGGAGUAUGGUCGCAAGGCUGAAACUUAAAGAAAUUGACGGAAGGGCACCACCAGGGGUGGAACCUGCGGCUUAAUUUGACUCAACACGGGGAAACUCACCAGGUCCAGACACAGCGAGGAUUGACAGAUUGAGAGCUCUUUCUUGAUUCUGUGGGUGGUGGUGCAUGGCCGUUCUUAGUUGGUGGAGUGAUUUGUCUGCUUAAUUGCGAUAACGAACGAGACCUUAACCUGCUAAAUAGCCCGUACUGCUCUGGCAGUUCGCCGGCUUCUUAGAGGGACUAUCGG
rnacentral:rRNA from 1 species